rnacentral:rRNA from 1 species
GCUAAACGCGAAGAACCUUACCCAGACUUGACAUGCACUAGACCGCUUCAGAAAUGAAGCUUCCCUUCGGGGCUGGUGCACAGGUGCUGCAUGGCUGUCGUCAGCUCGUGCCGUGAGGUGUUGGGUUAAGUCCCGCAACGAGCGCAACCCUUAUCAUUAGUUGCCAACACGUAAUGGUGGGAACUCUAAUGAGACUGCCUGGGUUAACCAGGAGGAAGGUGAGGAUGACGUCAAGUCCGCAUGGCCCUUAUGUCUGGGGCUACACACGUGCUACAAUGGUCGGUACAAAAGGCAGCGAAACCGUGAGGUGAAGCAAAUCCCGAAAGCCGGCCCAGUUCAGAUUGUAGUCUGCAACUCGACUACAUGAAGUUGGAAUUGCUAGUAAUGGCGUGUCAGCAAUAACGCCGUGAAUACGUUCCCGGGUCUUGUACACACCG